CAGCACACGCGCACAUCUCGCUACGCACGCCUCUCAGACGCGUCCGCAGGACACCCGCCGGGUUCCGUGUCAGGCUGUAACGGAGCGGAGCCGCUAGCAGAGAGAGAGAGAAGAGCGCUUUUUAAAAUUUAUUUUUUGGGGCUUUUUGGAGAGCGAGAGCGCACCGCCUUUUGUCGCGUUUGUUACUCCGCGAGCAUUCAAAAAAGCAGCAGCAGCAGCUGCUGACACUCGGACACGCGCUUCUUUGAGAGCGGAGACUGUGGACUUGCUACCGCCGAGCCUCCACGGGAGGACCGACCCCUUCGUGUGCGCAACAUACGCGGGGACGCAGAGAGGGGUUGAAACGGGGAGGCGGGGGGCGGACUGGUCGGAACUUGACGCACCCUGGAGCCGCCGUCUCUGGAGCGCAGAAGCCUCCGAGCUGCGGAGCGCACGCCGUAUUGAUCAAGGAGUUUGUUUGUUUGUUCACUGUAUUUUGGAUGCCGUUGUGAGGCAUCGCGCCGCUAAAUGGACAGACUUUAAAAAAAGGCAAAUAGAUUUGCACUAAUGACAUGCAGUUGGCACACGUUUCCCCCACCAAUGGUUUGAUAAGCGGGAUUAUUCCUGAAGUGGUCUCGCUUUGACUGCUGCCACCGGUUUGUGGUCCAACCAGGGUGUGGAUUUUUUUUUUUUUUUGGAAAGAACAGUAUCACUUCAUAUUCUACGAGGUGGAAAGAUUAUAAACUUAAAGCUCGCCGCGAGUUCCUGCGUCAUCCAAGAUGGAUUUUCAGUCAUCACUGUUUGGAUUUCUGAUGACAAUGUGUCAUGUAGCAUUGAGAGUCCGAGGAGAAACUGUGCCACAGUGCGGAGACCUCUUUGAUGCCAGCAAGGCCGGUUACAUCACCUCCCCCGGCUACCCUCUGGAGUACCCGCCUCACCAGAACUGCCACUGGAUCAUCACGGCGCCGGAGCCGUCGCAGCGCAUCGUCCUCAACUUCAACCCACACUUUGAGAUAGAGCGACUGGACUGCAAGUAUGACUUCAUCGAGAUCCGUGACGGGACUUCGGAAAAUGCCGAUGUUCUGGGUCGGCACUGCAGCAACAUCGCCCCGGCGCCAAUCAUCUCAUCGGGACCCUCCCUGCAGAUCCGCUUCGUCUCGGACUACGCCCACCAGGGAGCGGGCUUCUCCCUGCGCUACGAGAUCUUCAAAACCGGGUCGGAAUUCUGCUUCCGCAACUUCACCAGCUCCUCCGGCAUGAUCGACUCUCCGGGCUUCCCGGAUAAAUACCCCCAUAAUCUGGAGUGCUCCUACAUGAUCAUCGCCCCGCCCCACAUGGACAUCACCCUCACGUUCCUGACCUUUGACCUGGAGAACGACCCGCUGCUGGUGGGAGAGGGCGACUGCAAGUACGACUGGCUGGACGUGUGGGAUGGCCUGCCGCAAGUGUCUCCUCUGAUCGGCCGAUACUGCGGAACAAAGAUCCCUCCGGAGAUCCAGUCUUCCUCCGGCCUGCUGUCCCUCUCCUUCCACACCGACAUGGCCGUGGCCAAAGACGGCUUCUCCGCCCGCUACAACAUGACGCACAAAGAAGUCAGCGACUCGUUCCACUGCAGCAUGGCGCUCGGCAUGGAGUCGGGGAAGAUCAGCGACGAUCAGAUCAGCGCAUCGACGACCUUCUACGACAACCGCUGGUUGCCGCGGCAGGCCCGCCUCAACAACGACGACAACGCCUGGACGCCGUCGGAGGACAGCAACAAGGAGUACAUACAGGUCGACCUCCACUUCCUGAAGGUGCUGACGGGGAUCGCCACGCAAGGGGCCAUUUCCAAGGAGACGCAGAAGUCCUACUACGUCACCACCUUUAAACUGGAGGUCAGCACCAACGGGGAGGACUGGAUGGUCUACCGCCACGGCAAGAACCACAAGAUCUUCCACGCCAACACGGACCCGGCCGAAGUGGUUCUGAACCGCGUCCCACAGCCGGUUCUGGCUCGGUUCGUCCGCAUCCGACCACAGACCUGGAGGAACGGCAUCGCCCUGCGCUUUGAGCUCUACGGAUGCCAGAUCACAGAUGCUCCGUGUUCGGACCUGCAGGGCCUGCUGUCCGGCCUUCUCCUCGACGCCCAGAUCUCCGCCUCCUCCACCAGGGACAUGGUGUGGAACCCGGGGAACGCCCGCCUGGUGGCCAGUCGCUCCGGCUGGUUCCCGGCCGGCGCGCAGCCCUUGGCUGGAGAAGAGUGGCUCCAAGUGGACCUCGGCGUGCCGAAGACGGUGCGCGGAGUGAUCACCCAGGGAGCGAGGGGAGGGGACGCAGGAAGCGGGGCGACCACGGAUAACCGGGCGUUUGUCAGGAAGUACAAAGUGGCACACAGCCUGAACGGGAAGGAGUGGCACUUCAUCAUGGACAGCAAGACCAGCCUGCCAAAGAUUUUUGAGGGGAACACGCACUACGACACCCCGGAGCUGCGCCAUUUUGAAGAGAUCGUGUCCCAGUUCAUCAGGCUGUAUCCAGAGCGGUGGUCUCCAGCAGGGAUCGGGAUGAGAGUCGAGAUAAUUGGCUGUGACCUUCCAGAAACCACCACGCCGGCCGAGACCGCCACGCCAACUCUGCCCGCUGACAUGGACACCUCCACCGCCCCUCUUACGACUACAGUGGCCGCCUCUCCUCCACCAGAGAGCGUGUGUGACUUCGACCACGGCCUGUGUGGGUGGACGCACGACCCCAACGCCCCCGUGCUCUGGUCCCUGCACAGCCACGAGUUGAGCAGCUAUCUGUACAUGGACGCCAGCUUGAAGACGGAGCAGCAGCGAGCGCGGCUCGUGAGCCCCCUGGUGGUGGCCGACUCGGGGCCCCUCUGCCUCCUCUUCUCCUACCAGCUGUGGGGGGAGGCCCAGGGCCACCUGAAGGUCCUCCUGCGGGACGCCCACAACGAGGAGACCGUCCUGUGGACGCUGAAAGACGAUCAGGGACCCGUCUGGAGGGAGGGCCGUACCAUCCUGCCUCGCUCCCCAAAAGACUUCCAGAUUGUGAUGGAGGGUUUCUUUGUGCACGGCACCAGAGGACACAUCUGGAUAGACAACAUCUACUUGAGCUCUAGCACCCCUCUGAAAGAGUGCACACAACCCUUUGCUGCUUUUUCUCCUGAAAAUCCAGGGGGAGGCGUUCCUGUGCCUCCCUUGCCCAUCCACUGGUAUUACAUUAUGGCCGCCGGGGGCGCCCUCCUUCUCCUGGCGGUGGCCAUCUUGGUCAGGGCUCUCUGUUGCUGCCGACAACACCUGGCCACCAAGAAGAGCCAGCUGUCAGUGGCCUAUCACAGCUCCUCGCAGUGCUUCCAGUAUUCUAACUGGUCCUCCAGUAUGGCCGCCCCAGGGGUGGAGCCAGUGCUGACCGUGAGGCUGGACAGCCGAGACCGACACCGUACCCUCUGCUGAAGAGAAGUCCUUAGCCACGUUGUGUUUUGGCAGAGGAGGGACGCCAACUCGUAACGCCAGUGGCAGCGCGCGCCGCGAUACCGCAACACUGACGGGACACCCACCCGAAGAACCUCUCCCUCAUCUAGUUUACAGUUGCAAGGGAGAUGAUGAUAUUGUCCAAAAAAACUGCCACGUGGACAUUUGCAAAGAAACAUUGUGCUCUCUCUCUCUCUGUGUCUCAAAUGGAUGUAGCUUCGGAUGCCGUUAUCUUCCUUGUUCCAUUAAGGAGUUCUUUUCACACUAUGCUCCUCCUGAUGAGUGCACUGAAGUCUGAGUAAGUUAUUUAUCUGAACAGCUUGUCUCGGACCAUUGAAUGCCGUCUGGCCCCUCUUUACCCCAGCGGUCCUCCUGGAAUGACCCCAGCAUGAACAAACAGACUUGUGUGGGCCGGGAAGAGAAGGAGGUCGAGCUGGUUCCGCUGCAAGGGCCAGCCGGAGCUGCCAAACCACAGGCUAAAACAAGACCCCCGUGACAUGAGGAGCCCUGCAGUGCUAAGAGAGAAAUAGAGAGAGAGAGAGAGAGAGAGAGAGAAAUGGGGGAGGAAACUGUUAGGCUGAGAGGCAUUCAACGUGCUGGCGGUGGAAAUGAUCUGGCAAGCCCCAGAAAAUAAAGCUCUUGGUACCUCUGUAAUAACAACAUGAGAUAGCUGUGGUAUGAGUUGCACCAAUAGUGAGGGCGUCGCAUCGGAGGCGGAUAAGAUAAAUCCGCCCAGUGUGCUUUUCGAACACCGCAUGUGCACAUUUAAAAACAAAGAAAUACAAAUCCAUCAUACUUCAAGUCCUGCAUCACAAAUGGUGAUAACCAGCUCCUUUGAUUGAACGUUUUGUCUUCUCCCGACGAAGGCACCCGUCAGUGAUGGAUGCAGCCGCCCUCAGUGUUUAGCGCUUCGUCUCGAUUCUCUGGCGUAAUAAAGCACGUUGUUCACACUCCCACUCACGCUUCGUACCACCACCCCCCCCCCCACCCACCUCCCGUUGUUCCCCAUGUCUUUGAGCUGCUCCGCCGAGCCUCGUCGCCAUUUCAAUGGGAAUGCGUGCUCGUUGCGUUUUAGGGUUGUAAAUAGACACAGCUGUCCGACAUCACCAUCUCUGUCUUGAUUUAUACUACAAAUCCCACAAUGCCGCUUCACCAGCUGGAAAGCAUAAUUGAAGGUUUUGGCUGUGUAUAUACACGCCCUUGAGAGCAAUCCAAAACGUUAUGAGAACCAGAGCAGAGCUCCAGCCAUCGAUGGCGCUCCCAUGAAUGGAUAUUAACAUGACACAGGUCAGCUAAUGCAAUGCUUACUCAUGUUUAACAGAGAUGGGAUCCAAAAGUAUUUUAUUGUGAAAUGUCUCAGAACUGAGCUGAGACAAAUUGGCAGCAGUGUCUCUCUCAUCAGUCGGUGCAGAGGUGGUGAGAUUGGACGCAGGCUCGGUUUAGCACUCUAGAUUGAACGAAAUUGGGGUCUUCACUCUGUGGCUUAACGGGCCGUGCUUUUCGUGAUCUGUCACACCAGCACAAAAUCCAUCACCCACUACCCCACAGCUCAGCAGAAUGUGUCUCGAUUUGCUGCCGCAAUUUAGGAGCUGCACUUCAGAGUGAAAAAGAGGUGUUUUUUGGCACGCUCUCUCAAUGUGCUUUUAAAUCAUCUCAGGGGAAGAGGGAUUGGACCCCCUGCUUGAGCCAUCACGACACCGUUACGCUCCAAGCCUCUAAUGGUGGUAAUUAGUUAAUGGACAGAUAACAUUUAUUAACUUUCUCACUCCCAUCUAUUGCACCUCAGCUGCCAAUUUCAGUUGCCCCCGGAAACAGUAUUGAUAACGCCAUUGGCCAUAAGCGAACCCUGCAGAUUCGAGGCGUGCGCCCUGCCAAGCAGAUACUCCCAGUCCUACGUGUUCGCCAAGAUUAGCUAGUGCAAACCCACACUCGCACACGCAAACGCACACAGAGUGGACAGGAAACUCGUCGAAAGUAAAAGUACACUCGAGCUUUCCGGCUCGACUGAAGUGGCGCGGCCGUUGGUGGUUCACCGCACUUUAUGAUCCUCCAAUUCAGACCAUCCCGUACAUAUCACCGCUCAGUUCACACCACAUGGCAGGGAACGGAAAGACAUGCACUACUUAAAUGUUGUUGUUGUUUUUUUGUCUUUCAUCAUCUUAUACACCACUCUUAAACUUGACAGCGACAGUGCCGAUGAUUUUAAUGGUGAUAAUGAUGGGUAAUGUUAACUAUUUGGUGAUGUUUGCAUCUCUAUUCACACGGAAUGAACAGUCUUAUACCAUCAGUAUGCUAUGUGAUGACUGUAUUUUUGACAAGAAUGUAUCAUAAUGAUCUUUCUUUAUUAAUAAAGUAAUAUUUUUCUAUUAUUCCAAGACUUGUGUGUGUCUACAAAUGCAAAUUACAAUAUGCAAAAAGCUUAGUUCUCCAUAGAUUUGUUGAAAUUGAAGUAUUAUCUGAAACAGAAACCGACAAAAACUGGUUCUGUGUGGAAUAAUUCUUUAUGCUUAACGGUUGUGUCUCCUGUGCUUCUCUCACACAGUUAAGAGACCAAAUGAAUUUGGAGAUGGACGUCUUUCCAGCGGCAGAAACCCUCUAGGUGGAGUUUUACAGUUCCCGGAGUGGAACACGGCCUCCCCGUCGUCUGAGCCUCCGGUGACCCGCGUCUCAGAGAAGGACAACUCCUG